rnacentral:misc_RNA from 1 species
CGACGUAAAGCGAGGCCCC